rnacentral:rRNA from 1 species
UACGUAGGGGGCAAGCGUUGUCCGGAUUUAUUGGGCGUAAAGAGCGUGUAGGCGGCUUGGUAGGUCAGCUGUGAAAACUCGAGGCUCAACCUCGAGAUGUCGGUUGAAACCACCUGGCUAGAGUCCGGAAGAGGAGAAUGUAAUUCCCGGUGUAGCGGUGAAAUGCGCAGAUAUCGGGAAGAACACCCGUGGCGAAGGCGGUUCUCUGGGACGGUACUGACGCUGAGACGCGAAAGCGUGGGGAGCGAACAGG